rnacentral:misc_RNA from 1 species
GAUGAAGAACGCAGUGAAAUGCGAUAAGUAAUGUGAAUUGCAGAAUCCAGUGAAUCAUCGAAUCUUUGAACGCACAUUGCGCCCGCCAGCAUUCUGGCGGGCAUGCCUGUUCGAGCGUCAUUUCAACCCUCGACCUCCCUUUGGGGAAGUCGGCGUUGGGGACCGGCAGCACACCGCCGGCCCUGAAAUGGAGUGGCGGCCCGUCCGCGGCGACCUCUGCGUAGUAAACCAACUCGCACCGGAACCCCGACGUGGCCACGCCGUAAAACACCCAACUUCUGAACGUUGACCUCGAAUCAGGUAGGACUACCCGCUGAACUUAAGCAUAUCAAUAAGCGGGA